AAGGUACGCUAUCUUUUGAGAGCUUUUUCUCCCCAAUUUCUCUUCCUGAAAGGAUUGCAUUUAUAUGUCGUCAAAUAAUAAAUUGGAAAUGGUUUAGAGAAGGCUAUACUUCGUACUGCUUGGAAAAACCAUCUGAAUUUAAGUUUUCUUGCUUGAAUUUUGCUUAUUCUGAGCUAAAAUGGAGGUUUUGCAAUCCAUUAUUCAUUCAUGGUAAUCGAUUAACCUUUUGUGUAGCUUUAAAAUACAGGUGACAGUACAGUUUGUUGUGAUUUUGUACAUUCAAAUUUGCAAAUUAUCCUCUCCAGAGAGCAAUGGAAAUGUGCCGUCAAUUUCAUCCACUGCCAAGGUUUCUUCUCUCUUUUCAAUUUCAUAGAUUUUUAGUUCCAUUAAUUUCGCCAUUGUCCCUUGCCUCUACGUGGGCACCUUCUCUAUUUAAUUACUUAUAUUGUGUUAUCUUUUGUCACUCAUAUCAAGUUUCUCAAAGACAGAAGCUGUGGAGGAAAAAAAACAGGGGUAAUAUAUUAUACUUUACUAUAUAUGGAGGCUAUAAGGAAGCAAUCAAUCAAUCAGGUUUAUAGAACAGAGUUGCCAAGCAACAGCAAGUAAGCUAUUAGGUCUUUUGUUUUGUUUUUUUCCUUUUCGUCUUAUGGGUUUGACGUUGGAGAUUCAUAUUGGAGUUCUUCAAGGGUUGUGGGGGAGACAUGGUCUGUUGAAAUCAAGAACCUAAGGAAGGAGUGGGGUGACUUGCAAAGCGAGGGGGAAAUGAUGGCCAUAUCAUAUUUACCAGCCUAUUCAUGUUUUUUUUUUUUUCGGAUUUCAUUUGUGGUGUAAGAUACUUUUUUGGCUUUCAAUCCUUGAUUUUGUAUUCAUGUUCAUGGAAUAUUUAGACUAUCGCUAAUGUACUGCCUAACCUGAUUGGAUGAAAGAAAAACUUUAUAUUUGUUGGCUUAUGAAAUAAACCGUGUAGAUUAUUGUACGACGACUAUACAGCAGAAUAGUGGUGUCUAUUGGUUAUGGGAACUACAGUAGAUUAUUGUCGAGACACUGUCAUGUGGCUCUUUCUUACUAUAUUCUUCUUUUGAUACUUCUUUUUCAUCAGGUAAGAAAUCUAAUUGGUUUGGAUAGUUUUUGCCUGCUGUGUUUUAAACUGUUGUCAAAGUUUCCCCAUUUUUUUCUUCUAGAUGUAAAAAAUUCAUCUUGAAUAGUUGAUCUUAAUAUUUAUUCAUUGAUCAAGGUGCAUAAAAGCCUGUUGUGAUUGUUCAAAGAAUCUCAAGAAAAAGAGUGGGGAUAUCAGCAUGCCCAAUUAUUGUUAUAAUCUUUUUUUUGGUUUAUAACUGCCUUUCAAUCCUUAUUGUCAUUUUUCCAGCAAAAGCGAAGGAUCUGAUGAGGAAGAUGAUUACUAUUAGACUUCAAGCGCUUGGUAUUUUUCCUGAAAUUGCAAACGAGUAUCUGUGGAUUCACGCAUAGAUUCAUCUUCCUAACAUUGAUUAAUUAUUUUUUCUUGAUUAGGGGAUUAAAACCCCCUCAGCCCUUCCAUCAGGUUCUAUCUACAAACUUCUUUCGGUAAUUUUCUUUUGGGUCUGAUUUCUUUAAGAUGCUUAUUCUUUGUUUUCGUUUGUCACUGAUUUCAAGCGUCUCCAUAGACAGAAGCUGUAGAGGGAGGGAAAAAAAAAAGAAUGGCCGAAGAAGUUCUUAUGCCGUUUCAAACCGUUAGUGUUUCUUAUUUGUUUUAGGAAUGGCCGAAGAAGUUCUUAGUUCUUCUAAUUCAUGUUUUAGCUAUUUUUCUUAUUUGUUUUACAUUUAUAUUUAGACUAUGUGAUAAUAUAAGCCAUGCCCAGGAAUUUUGUGUUUGGAUUGAGGGAUUUGGAGGGCAAAGCUAGUUUUUACACGGUUUUUUUAUGUCCUUGACUUCAAAUUGUUUGGUUAAAUUGAUUUCACCCAGAAGUCAUCUUCCUGUGUUUAUUAUAGUCAUUUUGAUCAGUGUAGAAAUUACUCUCAUGGUGCUCUCUAUACAGUGACGACCGUAGAUUUUUAUGAUGCUCCCAUGUCCAUCAUGCGUGUAUAUUGAAAGAGAGAAACCAUAGAACCUUUACCUGAAAGGAGAUCUCCUUUGAUUUUUUUAUUGAUAACAUGAACCGACCAUUGACCUCUCUGAAGCCAAACUCAGAUGCUAUGGUAUGUUCACUUCCUCUUACAUCAGCUUUGGGUGCGUACUAUCAGAUUACUGCGAAAGGUUGUUUAUUUUCUUCUUUUCUCCUGUGUCAUUUUUUAACUUUGUUUAUCUGUAAUUUCUUUUCGGUUGAUUUCAAUUUUUCUCUGUUUGUCAGCGUGAUUGGGACUCCGUUAUCGGAUUUAUCCACAAUGUGGGGCUUUCUUUCCUCCAAAUGUCCUUUUUGUUGCCAUCAUUUCCUGUUAUGCCUGCCUCAAUGUACUUUUUGUUUAUCUGGAUUAUCUAACAUAUACAAUGAUAGUUCUAGCUAUACAAAGCAAUGCAGACAGAGAAGGGUAAUCAUUCAAUUUGGCUUCUAUUCCUGUUAGUUUAUUUCAUAACCUAUGUUUAAUUCAAAUGGCCUUAUUAUAUAAUCCCAAAAUCUUACUAACACUUGACCAGUGCAUAUGCUUGCCACUUCUGCUGAGCACAUGCAAGUACUUAUUGAUUCAAGAUUGUUUGUAGUCCAGCAUUAGAGCAGGGAUUAGGAUUUGUUGUUUUUUGAAUUUAAUUUACGUCUUCUUUUCUUUGGGUUGGUUCCACGUAAGUUUGGUGAGCUCGGAUUAUGAUUUAUUGUGUUCGUGGGUUUAGACGGGGAGAAUAUCUAAAAUUGUGACUAUUGCGACCAAGUUCAGGUUUGAGGUUUGAAAAGUUGUUAAAUUUGAUGAUAAACAUGUGUCUUUGAUGGAUCAUGGAUCUUGAAAUCAUGGGCAUGUCAUGCUUUCUUCAGGUGUGAUUUCUUCCUGUUUUGUGUUUAUAUCUUUGUUUUUCAGCUUUCCGUGUUCAUUAAAGCUUGGUUUAUCAUAGUUCUGUAAGUAACUUUGAGGUGGAUUUGUGUCCGAAUUUCUUUGGAUUGGGAAGAAGUUACUUAAAUUGCUGAAGAACUACCUCUUAAUUGUACUUGUGGUUAUUGAUUAUACUAAUCGUAAAUGUAACCGUUAGUGAGGUUUUAUGUAUUCCUUGCUUGCUGAUUCCUUUUAGGCACUUAGUUAGAAAUUUAGAAUUAGUUCCUCUUAAAUUUUGGAAAGAAUGUUUUUGUGAAUUCAUUUUGGUGAUAUUCUGAGCAAUACAUUUUUCUGCUUGCCAUGGUUUUGGUACUUCAAAACUUAAAAAGUCAUGGCAUCUGGGCUUUUCUUAGGCAUAUGGCAUCUAUUUCGAACAUUUAUUGGAGGAAUCACUUGCAGACUUAUAUGUAUUUUUAUUUUUCCAGUGUCAAGAAACUAUUCAAACUGAAGAUAUGUUUGCCUACCCCAAAAAUGGUUGCUGUUAUAUGUGGUCACUACGUUCAUUGCCAUAAUAAUUUUCUGGCCGGGCUCUAUUUCAUUGCGCCAUAAAUUUCGAUCUGUUGUUAGUUUUUUGCUUAUUUGGGGUUUGGUGUGUUGUUUUUCCUUUUUUUUCUUUAAUUAAAUCAUGAGUUUGUUUUUUGGACAAAAUCCAGAAAUUUAAAAGCUGAAAGCAAUUCAGUUGCAACCAUGAAGUGGAUAUAUCUUCAUAUUUAUAAAGGGAAACGACUGGAAUGAUGGUUGAAUUUGC